rnacentral:rRNA from 1 species
ACGGGGGGUGCAAGCGUUGUUCGGAAUUAUUGGGCGUAAAGCGCGUGUAGGCGGUUUGUUAAGUCUGAUGUGAAAGCCCUGGGCUCAACCCAGGAAGUGCAUUGAAAACUGGUAGGCUAGAAUCUGGGAGAGGGUAAUGGAAUUCCUGGUGUAGGAGUGAAAUCCGUAGAUAUCAGGAGGAACACCGAUGGCGAAGGCGAUUGCCUGGAACGGUAUUGACGCUGAGGCGCGAAAGCGUGGGUAGCAAACAG